rnacentral:sRNA from 1 species
UUUUUUUCUUCUUCUUCUGGUCUCAACUUUU